GGGGUUGUGGCUCAGCAACAGAGUAUCCACCUAGCACGUGUAAGGCCCUGAGUUUGAUCCUCAGCACCACUA
rnacentral:tRNA from 1 species